AAAAAAUUACAAAAUGUGGUGCAUAUAAACAACUGGUAAUGCAUUUCCCUUCCCAAUUUCCUUUUGUUAUCCUUACCACUUUACCAGCUGGCAGAGAGCCUUCCUUUUCCGAUUCUCUAUUUCCUUUCCUCAUUCCCAAUCUCUGAUCCAUCCCUAAAAACAACUGACGAGAGAUCGAUGAUGAUGAAGAUGCCUUGGAGGAGGAAGAGCAGGAGCUUCCAUCUUCAGCUACAAGGG
rnacentral:lncRNA from 1 species